UGGCUUUUAAGGUAUGUGCCUCUCAUGUGGCACUGUGUACAUAGCUCUGCCAUUAUAUACGAUGUCAAAUCUCAAUAACUACUUUUAAUUUUGAAUUAUACUUUAUUUACAGGUCCUCGUUCUAUUCGCCUUUGUGACCGGGGUCUUUGGUAGUUCACUCCCAUCCUACACCCCCGCACCAUCCUACAAUGCCCCAGCUCCUACGGGACCAGCUCAGUAUGACUUCAAUUAUGCAGUAAAUCAUGAUUACUCCAAUAACGACUUCGGCCAUCAAGAAAAUCGUAAUGGAUACGACACUCAAGGAGCCUACUUUGUACUGCUUCCCGACGGCCGUGUACAGAGGGUAUCGUACAACGUGAACGGUGACUCUGGAUACGUGGCCCAAGUUACUUACGAGGGAGAGGCCCAAUACGGCGCUCCAAGACCUUCCACCUCUUACCAGCCUUCUUAUGCUUAACCCCAUGAAUUAGAAUAUCUUAAGUUUGAUAAAAUUGAAAAAAUAACACAUAUUUAAUAGUUACAAUAAAGAUCUUGACAAACGAAAUUUAUUGUCUGCUUGUAUCACUUAAAAUAUUUAGCUAAACCUUAAUAAAAUGAAUUAAUGGAAAUAUUGA